rnacentral:rRNA from 1 species
UACGGGGGGAGCAAGCGUUGUUCGGAUUUACUGGGCGUAAAGGGUUCGUAGGUGGCUCGCUAAGUCAGACGUGAAAUCCCUCAGCUUAACUGGGGAACUGCGUCUGAGACUGGCGAGCUCGAGUGCAGGAGAGGAACGCGGAAUUCCAGGUGUAGCGGUGAAAUGCGUAGAUAUCUGGAGGAACACCGGUGGCGAAGGCGGCGUUCUGGACUGCAACUGACACUGAUGAACGAAAGCCAGGGGAGCAAACGGG